rnacentral:miRNA from 1 species
UACCUCAUCAACCAGAAGGGAUUUCUUCUGGCCAAUGGGAUUGUUGUACCUCAUUAACUUGAGUUGAAGGAAUCCCUUCUGGUUGAUGAGGUA